rnacentral:rRNA from 1 species
GAGGACGGUCGGCGAGUGUUUAUCACACUUGCUUGCUUACUUUUGGCAAACUUCAGUCGGGCUGGAUCUUUGGUCCUCGUCUGACAGUUGCUGCGCGUGUACUUGUCCACGGUUCAUCCGUGAGGCCCAUUUGGGUUGCAACUGUAAAUAAAUCGUUGUGCUUAAAGCGGGCUAUGAUACUCUGCCAGAGCGAUUUAGCAUGGGACUGCAGAGUAGCUGUAUUUGAGUGAAGGUUGUACUUCGGUAUGGCUGGAGCUUGGUACAGCGCUUGUAAUGGAGCUCAGGGUGAGGCCCCGGGUACCAUGAGGCUAGAGGUGAAAUUCUGAGACCCUCAUGUGACCAACUAAGGCGAAAGCUGUCGUGGGCCACCACAAGCUCGUCUAUCAGGGACGAAAGUUGGGGGAUCGAAGACGAUUAGAUACCGUCGUAGUCCCAACUAUAAACGAUACCAACCGAGUAUUUGGGAAGACACUAUCCCAGCGAUCUUCUCAGAACUCAAGGGAAACCUUAAGUCUUUGGGUUCUGGGGGGAGUAUAGUCGCAAGACCGA